rnacentral:rRNA from 1 species
UGAGGAAUAUUGCGCAAUGAGCGAAAGCUAGACGCAGCAACGCCGCGUGGACGAUGAAGGCCUUCGGGUCGUAAAGUCCUUUUCAGGGGGACGAGUGAGGACGGUACCUCUGGAAUAAGUCACGGCUAACUACGUGCCAGCAGCCGCGGUAAAACGUAGGUGGCGAGCGUUAUCCGGAUUCACUGGGCGUAAAGCGCCUGCAGGCGGUCUCGUAAGUGGGAUGUGAAAUCUCCUGGCUUAACUGGGAGGGGCCAUUCCAUACUGCGGGACUUGAGGGCAGGAGAGGGAAGCGGAAUUCCCGGUGUAGUGGUGAAAUGCGUAGAUAUCGGGAGGAACACCAGUGGCGAAGGCGGCUUCCUGGCCUGCUCCUGACGCUAAGAGGCGAAAGCUAGGGGAGCGAACGGGAUUAGAAACCCCGGUAGUCCUAGCCAUAAACGAUGGAUACUGGGUGUCGGUGGUCCUAACCCCAUCGGUGCCGAAGCUAACGCGUUAAGUAUCCCGCCUGGGGACUACGGCCGCAAGGUUA